AGUGGCGGACGGGUGAGUAACGCGUGAGAAUCUGCCUUCAGGUCGGGGACAACAGAGGGAAACUUCUGCUAAUCCCGGAUGAGCCUUAGGGUAAAAAAUUUAUUGCCUGGAGAUGAGCUCGCGUCUGAUUAGCUAGUUGGUAAGGUAAAAGCUUACCAAGGCAACGAUCAGUAGCUGGUCUGAGAGGAUGAGCAGCCACACUGGGACUGAGACACGGCCCAGACUCCUACGGGAGGCAGCAGUGGGGAAUUUUCCGCAAUGGGCGAAAGCCUGACGGAGUAAGACCGCGUGGGGGAGGAAGGCUCUAGGGUUGUAAACCCCUUUUCUUUGGGAAGAACAAAAUGACGGUACCAAAGGAAUCAGCCUCGGCUAACUCCGUGCCAGCAGCCGCGGUAAUACGGAGGAGGCAAGCGUUAUCCGGAAUGAUUGGGCGUAAAGCGUCCGCAGGUGGCAAUGUAAGUCUGCUGUCAAAACCCAGGGCUCAACUCUGGUCAGGCAGUGGAAACUACAUAGCUAGAGUUCGGUAGGGGCAAAGGGAAUUCCCGGUGUAGCGGUGAAAUGCGUAGAGAUCGGGAAGAACAUCGGUGGCGAAAGCGCUUUGCUAGACCGAAACUGACACUCAGGGACGAAAGCUAGGGGAGCGAAUGGGAUUAGAUACCCC
rnacentral:rRNA from 1 species